rnacentral:rRNA from 1 species
UACGGAGGGGGCUAGCGUUGUUCGGAAUUACUGGGCGUAAAGCGCACGUAGGCGGCUUUGUAAGUUAGAGGUGAAAGCCCAGGGCUUAACCCUGGAAUUGCCUUUAAGACUGCAUCGCUAGAAUCGUGGAGAGGUGAGUGGAAUUCCGAGUGUAGAGGUGAAAUUCGUAGAUAUUCGGAAGAACACCAGUGGCGAAGGCGACUCACUGGACACGUAUUGACGCUGAGGUGCGAAAGCCUGGGGAGCAAGCAGG